GGAUUAGAUACCCUGGUAGUCCACGCCGUAAACGAUGGUCACUAGCUGUUUGGACUUCGGUCUGAGUGGCUAAGCGAAAGUGAUAAGUGACCCACCUGGGGAGUACGUUCGCAAGAAUGAAACUCAAAGGAAUUGACGGGGGCCCGCACAAGCGGUGGAGCAUGUGGUUUAAUUCGAUGAUACGCGAGGAACCUUACCAGGGCUUAAAUGUAGUUUGACAGGGGUAGAGAUACCUUUUUCUUCGGACAGAUUACAAGGUGCUGCAUGGUUGUCGUCAGCUCGUGCCG
rnacentral:rRNA from 1 species